rnacentral:rRNA from 1 species
GACGAACGCUGGCGGCGUGCCUAACACAUGCAAGUCGAGCGAGAAUCUUACGACGGAUUCCUUCGGGAUGAAGAUGUAAGAGGAAAGCGGCGGACGGGUGAGUAACGCGUGAGUAACCUGCCUAUCAGAGGGGGACAACAGUUGGAAACGACUGCUAAUACCGCAUAACAUAUUUUUAUGGCAUCAUAGAAAUAUCAAAGAUUUAUCGCUGAUAGAUGGACUCGCGUCCGAUUAGAUAGUUGGUAGGGUAACGGCCUACCAAGUCGACGAUCGGUAGCCGAACUGAGAGGUUGAUCGGCCACAUUGGGACUGAGACACGGCCCAGACUCCUACGGGAGGCAGCAGUGGGGGAUAUUGCGCAAUGGGGGCAACCCUGACGCAGCAACGCCGCGUGAAGGAUGAAGGUUUUCGGAUCGUAAACUUCUUUAAGUGUGGAAGAAAUUGACGGUACACACAGAAUAAGCCACGGCUAACUACGUGCCAGCCGCCGCGGUAAAAC